rnacentral:rRNA from 1 species
GCUUGCGGCCACACUGGCCUGAGUACGCCUGAUCUCGUCCGAUCUCGGAAGCUAAGCAGGGUCGGGCCUGGUUAGUACUUGGAUGGGAGACAGCCUGGGAAUACCAGGUGCUGUAAGCU